rnacentral:rRNA from 1 species
GAUGAACGCUGGCGGCGUGCCUAAUACAUGCAAGUCGAGCGAACAGACGAGGAGCUUGCUCCUCUGACGUUGGCGGCGGACGGGUGAGUAACACGUGGAUAACCCACCUAUAAGACUGGGAUACCUUCGGGAAACCGGAGCUAAUACCGGAUAAUAUAUUGAACCGCAUGGUUCAAUAGUGAAAGACGGUUUUGCUGUCACUUAUAGAUAGAUCCGCGCCGGAUUAGCUAGUUGGUAAGGUAACGGCAUACCAAUGCAACGAUGCGUAGCCGCCCUGAGAGGGUGAUCGGCCACACCGGAACUGAGACACGGUCACGACUCCUACGGGAGGCAGCAGAAGGGAAUCUGCCGCAAUGGGCGAAAGCCUGACGGAGCAACGCCGCGUGAGUGAUGAAGGUCUUCGGAGCGUAAGAAUCUGUUACUAGGGAAGAACAAAUGUGUAAGUAACUAAGCACGUCUUGACGGUACCUAAUCAGAAAGCCACGGCUAACUACGUG